rnacentral:rRNA from 1 species
GACGAACGCUGGCGGCGUGCUUAACACAUGCAAGUCGAACGGAAAGGCUCCAGCUUGCUGGUGUACUCGAGUGGCGAACGGGUGAGUAACACGUGGGUAAUCUGCCCUGCACUCUGGGAUAAGCCUGGGAAACUGGGUCUAAUACUGGAUAUGACCUUUCUCCUUAUGGGGUUUGGUGGAAAGUUUUUCGGUGUAGGAUGAGCCCGCGGCCUAUCAGCUUGUUGGUGGGGUGAUGGCCUACCAAGGCGACGACGGGUAGCCGGCCUGAGAGGGUGAUCGGCCACAUUGGGACUGAGAUACGGACCAGACUCCUACGGGAGGCAGCAGUGGGGAAUAUUGCACAAUGGGCGGAAGCCUGAGGCAGCGACGCCGCGUGAGGGAUGACGGCCUUCGGGUUGUAAACCUCUUUCAGCAGGGACGAAGCGUAAGUGACGGUACCUGCAGAAGAAGCACCGGCUAACUAUGUG